GUCUGUUGCCAUACCACCCUGAACGCACCCGUCUCAUCUGAUUUCAGAAGCUAAGCAUGACCAGUCCUAGUUAGUACUUGGAUGAGAGUCCACCUUAUUGAGACAGAGCCUCACUCU
rnacentral:rRNA from 1 species